rnacentral:rRNA from 1 species
UAGUGGAGCGCUUAGAAGUGAGAAUGCCGGUAUGAGUAGCGAAAGAAGGGUGAGAAUCCCUUCCACCGAAUGCCUAAGGUUUCCUGAGGAAGGCUCGUCCGCUCAGGGUUAGUCGGGACCUAAGCCGAGGCCGAAAGGCGUAGGCGAUGGACAACAGGUUGAUAUUCCUGUACCACCUCUUCACCGUUUGAACGAUGGGGGGACGCAGGAGGAUAGGGUAAGCGCACUGCUGGUUAUGUGCGUCUAAGCAGUUAGGCUGGUUACGAGGCAAAUCCCGUAACCGUGAAGGCGGAGCUGUGAUAGCGAGGGAAAUAUAGUACCGAAGUUCCUGAUUCCACACUGCCAAGAAAAUCCUCUAGUGAGGUGAAAGGUGCCCGUACCGCAAACCGACACAGGUAGGCGAGGAGAGAAUCCUAAGGUGAGCGAGAGAACUCUCGUUAAGGAACUCGGCAAAAUGACCCCGUAACUUCGGGAGAAGGGGUGCUCUGGUAGGGUGCAAGCCCGAGAGAGCCGCAGUGAAUAGGCCCAGGCGACUGUUUAGCAAAAACACAGGUCUCUGCGAAGCCGCAAGGCGAAGUAUAGGGGCUGACGCCUGCCCGGUGCUGGAAGGUUAAGAGGAGGGGUUAGCGUAAGCGAAGCUCUGAAUUGAAGCCCCAGUAAACGGCGGCCGUAACUAUAACGGUCCUAAGGUAGCGAAAUUCCUUGUCAGGUAAGUUCUGACCCGCACGAAAGGCGUAACGAUCUGGGCACUGUCUCAACGAGAGACUCGGUGAAAUUAUAGUACCUGUGAAGAUGCAGGUUACCCGCGACAGGACGGAAAGACCCCGUGGAGCUUUACUGCAGCCUGAUAUUGAAUUUUGGUACAGCUUGUACAGGAUAGGUAGGAGCCUUUGAAGCCGGAGCGCCAGCUUCGGUGGAGGCGUCGGUGGGAUACUACCCUGGCUGUAUUGAAAUUCUAACCCGCACCCCUGAUCGGGGUGGGAGACAGUGUCAGGCAGGCAGUUUGACUGGGGCGGUCGCCUCCUAAAGAGUAACGGAGGCGCCCAAAGGUUCCCUCAGAAUGGUUGGAAAUCAUUCGUAGAGUGUAAAGGCACAAGGGAGCUUGACUGCGAGACCUACAAGUCGAGCAGGGACGAAAGUCGGGCUUAGUGAUCCGGUGGUUCCGCAUGGAAGGGCCAUCGCUCAACGGAUAAAAGCUACCCCGGGGAUAACAGGCUUAUCUCCCCCAAGAGUCCACAUCGACGGGGAGGUUUGGCACCUCGAUGUCGGCUCAUCGCAUCCUGGGGCUGUAGUCGGUCCCAAGGGUUGGGCUGUUCGCCCAUUAAAGCGGUACGCGAGCUGGGUUCAGAACGUCGUGAGACAGUUCGGUCCCUAUCCGUCGUGGGCGUAGGAAAUUUGAGAGGAGCUGUCCUUAGUACGAGAGGACCGGGAUGGACGCACCGCUGGUGUACCAGUUGUCUUGCCAAAGGCAUCGCUGGGUAGCUAUGUGCGGAAGGGAUAAGUGCUGAAAGCAUCUAAGCAUGAAGCCCCCCUCAAGAUGAGAUUUCCCAUAGCGCAAGCUAGUAAGAUCCCUGAAAGAUGAUCAGGUUGAUAGGUUCGAGGUGGAAGUGUGGCGACACAUGGAGCUGACGAAUACUAAUCGAUCGAGGACUUAACCAAA